GAGAUUUCCUGUCUCCAGUGUCCCUGUCAAGCCAGUUCUGGAUGGAUUUGCAUUUUGUUUGGGGAAUUAUUGGACAGGCCAGUUUUUGGCAACUACACUUUGCCCUAGGCUGAGCGUCAGGCCCUAUAAAGAGGUGCUCUGCUGCACGACUGCCAUCCUCCUGGUACUCGAGUCCCAACCUCCUUUGGAGAACGUGCUCCGAAGACUCCAGAAAGAUGUCUUCUCAACAGCAGCAGUGCAAGCAGCCCUGCCAGCCCCCUCCUGUGUGCCCACCUAAGUGCCCAGAGCCGUGCCCGCCCCCAAAAUGCCCUGAGCCGUGCCCACCCCCACAGAGGCAGCAGAAAUGCCCUCCUGUGCAACCUCCUCCACCAUGCCAGCAGAAGUGCCCGCCCAAGAGCAAGUAACAGCUUCAGCAGCAUCAGGAUCUGGAAAAGAGAAGGACCAUUGGCUCGCCUGCUUCCACAGCUCCACCUUCACCUUCUCUUCCGAGCCUAUCAUGCAAGUAACAGCUUCAGCAGCAUCAGGAUCUGGAAAAGAGAAGGACCAUUGGCUCGCCUGCUUCCACAGCUCCACCUUCACCUUCUCUUCCGAGCCUAUCAUGGUGGCAGAAGCGGCUCCUCCACCCUUCAGCCUGGAAAAUGCCUGUGUGACCCCUGACAGCAAAAGGGUUCCUUCCUGAGGCUGUCACACUGCUCCUCUCCGGGAGGGAGCUGAGGAAGGGCAUCCUCAGCUGUGCCAGCAUCCCAGAGCUUCAGGAGGAAGAGCAGCAGCUCUCUUCCUGGGUGCCAGCAGGGGAGGCUCUUGAUGUCUUCUGUGUCUGUCUGUCCCCUGGGCAGGGGUUUGUAUCACCUGGCAAUUGUUCCUUUUCUUCCAUUUCCUGAAUAAAGUGCCAUUUUGUGGGA
rnacentral:lncRNA from 1 species